rnacentral:rRNA from 1 species
AUACGGGGGGAGCAAGCGUUGUCCGGAAUCGUUGGGCGUAAAGGGCACGUAGGCGGUUUCUUAAGUCGAAUGUGAAAUCUCACGGCUCAACCGUGAAACUGCGUUCGAAACUAAGUGACUUGAGUUUGGGAGAGGUGUACGGAAUUCCUGGUGUAGCGGUGGAAUGCGUAGAUAUCAGGAAGAACACCAAUGGCGAAGGCAGUACACUGGCCUGAAACUGACGCUGAGGUGCGAAAGCGUGGGGAGCAAACAGGAUUAGAAACCCGGGUAGUCC